rnacentral:tRNA from 1 species
UGGCCUGCUCGAUUAAGGCUGGAUCGGCGCCGAUCUCGCCGGCGGCGUCGUUCUUGUUGAAGCGCUGGUCGUUCAGGCGGAUGAGGCUGAC